rnacentral:rRNA from 1 species
GAUGAACGCUGGCGGCGUGCUUAACACAUGCAAGUCGAACGGAAAGGCUCCUGCUUGCAGGGGUACUCGAGUGGCGAACGGGUGAGUAGCACGUGGGUGAUCUGCCCUGCACUUCGGGAUAAGCCUGGGAAACUGGGUCUAAUACCGGAUAGGACGAUGGUUUGGAUGCCAUUGUGGAAAGUUUUUCGGUGUGGGAUGAGCUCGCGGCCUAUCAGCUUGUUGGUGGGGUAAUGGCCUACCAAGGCGUCGACGGGUAGCCGGCCUGAGAGGGUGUACGGCCACAUUGGGACUGAGAUACGGCCCAGACUCCUACGGGAGGCAGCAGUGGGGAAUAUUGCACAAUGGGCGCAAGCCUGAUGCAGCGACGCCGCGUGGGGGAUGACGGCCUUCGGGUUGUAAACUGCUUUCGCUAGGGACGAAGCGCAAGUGACGGUACCUGGAGAAGAAGCACCGGCUAACUACGUG